AUGAACGCUAGCUACAGGCUUAACACAUGCAAGUCGAGGGGCAGCGGGGUUGAAGCUUGCUUCAACCGCCGGCGACCGGCGCACGGGUGAGUAACACGUAUCCAACCUGCCGAUAACUCUGGGAUAGCCUUUCGAAAGAAAGAUUAAUACCGGAUGGCAUAGUUUUCCCGCAUGGAAUAACUAUUAAAGAAUUUCGGUUAUCGAUGGGGAUGCGUUCCAUUAGGCAGUUGGCGGGGUAACGGCCCACCAAACCGACGAUGGAUAGGGGUUCUGAGAGGAAGGUCCCCCACAUUGGAACUGAGACACGGUCCAAACUCCUACGGGAGGCAGCAGUGAGGAAUAUUGGUCAAUGGACGAGAGUCUGAACCAGCCAAGUAGCGUGAAGGAUGACUGCCCUAUGGGUUGUAAACUUCUUUUAUACGGGAAUAAAGUUAGCCACGUGUGGUUUUUUGCAUGUACCGUAUGAAUAAGGAUCGGCUAACUCCGUGCCAGCAGCCGCGGUAAUACGGAGGAUCCGAGCGUUAUCCGGAUUUAUUGGGUUUAAAGGGAGCGUAGGCGGGGUAUUAAGUCAGUUGUGAAAGUUUGCGGCUCAACCGUAAAAUUGCAGUUGAUACUGGUAUCCUUGAGUGCAGCAGAGGUGGGCGGAAUUCGUGGUGUAGCGGUGAAAUGCUUAGAUAUCACGAAGAACUCCGAUUGCGAAGGCAGCUCACUGGAGUGUAACUGACGCUGAUGCUCGAAAGUGUGGGUAUCAAACAGGAUUAGAUACCCUGGUAGUCCAUGCCGUAAACGAUGAAUGCUAGGUGUUGGAGGGUUUCCGCCCUUCAGUGCCGCAGCUAACGCAUUAAGCACUCCGCCUGGGGAGUACGACCGCAAGGUUGAAACUCAAAGGAAUUGACGGGGGCCCGCACAAGCAGUGGAGUAUGUGGUUUAAUUCGAAGCAACGCGAAGAACCUUACCAGGGCUUGACAUAUAGAUGAAUAUAUAAGAGAUUAUAUAGCUCUUCGGAGCAUCUAUACAGGUGGUGCAUGGUUGUCGUCAGCUCGUGUCGUGAGAUGUUGGGUUAAGUCCCGCAACGAGCGCAACCCCUGUUUCUAGUUGCCAGCACGUCAAGGUGGGAACUCUAGAAAGACUGCCGUAGAUAAUACGGAGGAAGGUGGGGAUGACGUCAAAUCAGCACGGCCCUUACGUCCGGGGCUACACACGUGUUACAAUGGGGGGUACAGAAGGCAGCUACCUGGCGACAGGAUGCCAAUCCCGAAAACCUCUCUCAGUUCGGAUCGAAGUCUGCAACCCGACUUCGUGAAGCUGGAUUCGCUAGUAAUCGCGCAUCAGCCACGGCGCGGUGAAUACGUUCCCGGGCCUUGUACACACCGCCCGUCAAGCCAUGAAAGCCGGGGGUACCUGAAGUACGUAACCGCAAGGAGCGUCCUAGGGUAAAACUGGUGAUUGGGGCU
rnacentral:rRNA from 1 species